rnacentral:rRNA from 1 species
GAACCUGCGGAAGGAUCAUUACCUAGAGUAGUAGGCUUUGCCUGCUAUCUCUUACCCAUGUCUUUUGAGUACCUUCGUUUCCUCGGCGGGUUCGCCCGCCGAUUGGACAAUUUAAACCAUUUGCAGUUGCAAUCAGCGUCUGAAAAAACAUAAUAGUUACAACUUUCAACAACGGAUCUCUUGGUUCUGGCAUCGAUGAAGAACGCAGCGAAAUGCGAUAAGUAGUGUGAAUUGCAGAAUUCAGUGAAUCAUCGAAUCUUUGAACGCACACUGCGCCCCUUGGUAUUCCAUGGGGCAUUCCUGUUCGAGCGUCAUUUGUACCUUCAAGCUCUGCUUGGUGUUGGGUGUUUGUCUCGCCUAUGCGUGUAGACUCGCCUCAAAACAAUUGGCAGCCGGCGUAUUGAUUUCGGAGCGCAGUACAUCUCGCGCUUCGCACUCAGAACGAAGACGUCCAAAAGUACAUUUUACACUCUGACCU